GCUUCCCACUCACCCGGUGAACUUUCUCACUCAGAACCAACCAGCUACUGGCCUGGAUUUUUGGUUCAGUCAUACUGCUUUCUCUGAUCUUUGGCAAGUUCUAGCUCUAGCCCAGCACUGUCCAAUCGAACUUUCUGCAAUGAUGGGAAUAUUCUAUAUCUGCUCUAUCCUAUGUGAAUAGUGUGGCCAAGGAAUUGGAUUUUACAUUUUAUUUAAUUAUAACUAGAUAAAUUUAAUUAUUUAGCCAAUGUGGCUAGCGGCCACUUUCUUGGGGAGUGUAGAUAUAAAACGCUUCCAACAAUACACUGAAGAGACAGCAAUUAUUAACUGAGGUUAAGUGGAGAUUUGAGGAUUUAAAGAAAGUUUUCCUGAAGAGUGAAUAGUUUGCUCUUUAGGGAUUAGGUAAAUGUGGAGGGGGGAUAUUACUGGAUCAUUUUGUAGCAUUCCCUUUUUUCACAUGUCACUAUUGUUUAGAAAUUGUGAUCUUUGGGAAGACUUUAAACAUAUUUGAGCCUCAUUUUGCUCAUCUCUUUACAGAUGGGAAUGCCACAUCUUUUGCAAGGUUUAUGUUAGAAACAAAUGAUAUCAUUUUCUAAACACUUGGUAAACAGUAGCAUGCUGUACAAUAACUUAAAUCACAUGUUAUCAAAACAAUUAUUUAUUGGCUACUACCUAUGUAUUUUCAGCAAGGAGGUAUGAAAAUAUAAAAUGUAUGGUCUGUACCUAAAAAACUUACCUGAAAAGAGUUCACACACAAGCGUAUGAACUGUGAGAUCAAUUGUGAAGACAGCCAAGAAUCCAAAAGUGGGUUUGCACCAAGAAGAGGGAGAGGCAGAAAAAGCAAGAAAAGGGGCCUGUAGUGAGAAGUUGAAAAUUUGUGCAAAAGAAGAAGCUACCCAUAGAGGCCACUGCUUCUCAAAUUUUUCUGUGCCUAUGAAUCAUCUGGAGAUCGAUCUUACUAAAAUGCGAUUUGGGUCCAGAAGCUCUGGAGUGGGACCUGACAUUCUCCAUUUCUAACAUGCUCCAGGUGAUGCCCACGCUGCUGGUCCACUUACCACACUUUACAACGUUUAAAGCUACCCCAGCCCUCACAUAAAAGCUCCACACCGCCAGAUGCCUUGAUAAAUUUACUUUACAUUUUUAUCUUUUAAAGCAUCUGAAACCGUCACUAAAUAUGUGUGCACUUAAAUAUUUGGUUAAUAACUAUGACUAUGUCCUUGGCAGUGCAGGGCAGAAGUAGGCAACCUGGGACUAAGAGACGAUAGGUUUGGGAUGGAAUACUGUGAAUUCUAAUCAAAAACUUUCUUUUCCUUCAUUUCCCACCCCACUCUCUCACACGUGUUCAUCAACAUGGGGAAACACUGAAGUAAGAGAAUUCUGGGUAAAAGGACAGAAUGAAAGUGUCUGGUACUCUGAACUUCUACCCAUUAUUUAGGGGGCAUUCUCGACUUUAAAAGGGCUCUGAAAACAAAGUCAAUGCUUCCAGGUUUGUGCUAGCAUUGGCACAAAUCCCAAAGACACAUCAAGUAAAAAUGACAGUAUGGAAAGCUAGAAAAAUAACUGUCCGACCUUCUGUAUUAUCAUAGAACUACACAUGCUGGGUUUGACAUAAAACGUGGUCUUAUUAAAAAGUCAAAUAAAGAUGCUCCAACUGGAAUAGAAAAUAAUCUUAGGAUGAACCAUUUAGGCUUCUACUUGAAGCAAACUUCCAAUAGCGUUCAACUAGGGUUUGGUUCCACUACAAACGGACCUACUUGGCCCUUUCUGGGGGUAGAAAUUAGGAGUGGUCGAAUGGAUGUAGUUCAGUCUUAAGCAAAUUAGCAGUCUUCUCUUGUUCUGGGCUAAAAAUGAAGCCGCCAGCUGUUUCUCAUGCUCAGAUCACAGAAAGAGACCUGUCAAAAUAUCCCAUACCUCUUCACUUUAUAGGUGAGGAAACUGAAGCCCACAGAAAUUAGCUAAAGGUCCCAAAGAGUCAGUAGUAGCCUCAGCCUCUAAGAUGUUCCACUGUCCACUGUUUCUGCCAUUUUUUUCUUUCAACAGAUGCUUAUUUGAGAACCCUAUGGUUACCUACUAGGAUCUGAACCAAGAAAGCACUUAGGCAUUGUGUGUCCGUGUGUGUGUGUGUGUGUGGGUUUUAGGGGUCAGAGACAAGGUCUUAAAAUCCUAACGACAGACAUAAGAAAGGGAUAUUAGGAGUGUCUGAGUCACUUCAUUGCUAGCUGAUGAAACUCACUGAGAACUUCACAAGAACAGAGAAUAAAGCUGCUGUAUUUAUAAGAACACACUGCUUUGUCUUUAGACAUACAGGGCUCAUAGUCCACUGAGGUUCAACACAUCCAAAGACCAAGCUCACCUUGGCUUUCCAUCCUCUUCCCCAAAAUUCAUUUCUUCCUUUUGUAUUCCAACCUCAACUGGACGCAUCACUACUAAAUCGGUUUUGCUCAAAACGUUUUUUUCACCAUCCAACCCUCUCUUUAAAUUUCAUCUCCUCUUCCUUGUGCUCCAACUGAUAGUAUAAACUCUCAUCAGGUUUGCCUCAGUUACUUCAACAGUCUUAAUAUCUACUGUUUCCAUUCUCAGCCUCUCAAAUCACAAUCAUUUUAAGACAUCUACAAAUUGUUAUUAAUUUCACAUUGCAAUUAACGUCAUGUUAUUUUGUUCAAAUCCUUUAAAGCCUCUCAGCUGCCUAAGGACUCGAGUCCAAACUCAAUAGCAUUCAUGGUUGGGUCCUCGCCCAUCGAUCUCUACAGUCAUCUCAUCCACCCCAGUGCUUCCCUUUCAUUGCAGCCUACCACACUCUUUGUAGGUCCCUGGAAACAUGACUGCAUCCAUCUAUGCCCUUCAUGUUCUCCUUGGUAUUCUUUCUAUCUGGACAGCUGCCGGGCAUCCUCUUUUGGGAGCUAUCUUGACCCUCAGAGCUAAUUACUCAAUUUCAGAAUUUUCUCUACACAAAAACUUUAUGACAACAGUCAUUCAGAAAGAAACUUGAUCUGAAUGGUUUGGUUAAUAAGAAACGAGAAACUACUGGGGUAAAAUAUAAGUGCACAUUCCAGAAAAUGCCCAGUGCAGUUUCAGUUAGUGUAUGGUAUGAAAACUCAUUAUGAGUAAACAAGAACUGGGUGAAAAAUUGUAAUUUAUUGAAACUCAACUCAAAAAAUAUAAGAUGCUGUAGUGUACAAUAUAUUACACAAAGCACCCUCAGGUGCACAUUCAAGUCAAGUAAGAACUCCAUAUCCCUUUCCCUAGCCCUCCCACCCUGGGAUCUUAGUAUUUGUUCCAUAUACAAUCAUGCACACUUAAUUUGAAAAAGGAAGCCCCAAUAUAUUUUGAUGUAUUAAUUAGCACCAAACAAGAGUACAGUUCCAUUUCUUUUUUUAAUAAACAAAAACAAAAA